GCUGUUCGCCAUUUAAAGUGGUACGCGAGCUGGGUUUAGAACGUCGUGAGACAGUUCGGUCCCUAUCUGCCGUGGGCGCUGGAGAACUGAGGGGGGCUGCUCCUAGUACGAGAGGACCGGAGUGGACGCAUCACUGGUGUUCGGGUUGUCAUGCCAAUGGCACUGCCCGGUAGCUAAAUGCGGAAGAGAUAAGUGCUGAAAGCAUCUAAGCACGAAACUUGCCCCGAGAUGAGUUCUCCCUGAGACUUAGAGUCUCCUGAAGGAACGUUGAAGACGACGACGUUGAUAGGCCGGGUGUGUAAGCGCAGCGAUGCGUUGAGCUAACCGGUACUAAUGAACCGUGAGGCUUAACCUUACAACGCCGAAG
rnacentral:rRNA from 1 species